rnacentral:rRNA from 1 species
UUAAGCGACUAAGCGUACACGGUGGAUGCCCUGGCAGUCAGAGGCGAUGAAGGACGUGCUAAUCUGCGAUAAGCGUCGGUAAGGUGAUAUGAACCGUUAUAACCGGCGAUUUCCGAAUGGGGAAACCCAGUGUGUUUCGACACACUAUCAUUAACUGAAUCCAUAGGUUAAUGAGGCGAACCGGGGGAACUGAAACAUCUAAGUACCCCGAGGAAAAGAAAUCAACCGAGAUUCCCCAAGUAGCGGCGAGCGAACGGGGAGCAGCCCAGAGCCUGAAUCAGUGUGUGUGUUAGUGGAAGCGUCUGGAAAGGCGCGCGAUACAGGGUGACAGCCCCGUACACAAAAAUGCACAUGCUGUGAGCUCGAUGAGUAGGGCGGGACACGUGGUAUCCUGUCUGAAUAUGGGGGGACCAUCCUCCAAGGCUAAAUACUCCUGACUGACCGAUAGUGAACCAGUACCGUGAGGGAAAGGCGAAAAGAACCCCGGCGAGGGGAGUGAAAAAGAACCUGAAACCGUGUACGUACAAGCAGUGGGAGCACGCUUAGGCGUGUGACUGCGUACCUUUUGUAUAAUGGGUCAGCGACUUAUAUUCUGUAGCAAGGUUAACCGAAUAGGGGAGCCGAAGGGAAACCGAGUCUUAACUGGGCGUUAAGUUGCAGGGUAUAGACCCGAAACCCGGUGAUCUAGCCAUGGGCAGGUUGAAGGUUGGGUAACACUAACUGGAGGACCGAACCGACUAAUGUUGAAAAAUUAGCGGAUGACUUGUGGCUGGGGGUGAAAGGCCAAUCAAACCGGGAGAUAGCUGGUUCUCCCCGAAAGCUAUUUAGGUAGCGCCUCGUGAAUUCAUCUCCGGGGGUAGAGCACUGUUUCGGCAAGGGGGUCAUCCCGACUUACCAACCCGAUGCAAACUGCGAAUACCGGAGAAUGUUAUCACGGGAGACACACGGCGGGUGCUAACGUCCGUCGUGAAGAGGGAAACAACCCAGACCGCCAGCUAAGGUCCCAAAGUCAUGGUUAAGUGGGAAACGAUGUGGGAAGGCCCAGACAGCCAGGAUGUUGGCUUAGAAGCAGCCAUCAUUUAAAGAAAGCGUAAUAGCUCACUGGUCGAGUCGGCCUGCGCGGAAGAUGUAACGGGGCUAAACCAUGCACCGAAGCUGCGGCAGCGACGCUUAUGCGUUGUUGGGUAGGGGAGCGUUCUGUAAGCCUGUGAAGGUGUACUGUGAGGUAUGCUGGAGGUAUCAGAAGUGCGAAUGCUGACAUAAGUAACGAUAAAGCGGGUGAAAAGCCCGCUCGCCGGAAGACCAAGGGUUCCUGUCCAACGUUAAUCGGGGCAGGGUGAGUCGACCCCUAAGGCGAGGCCGAAAGGCGUAGUCGAUGGGAAACAGGUUAAUAUUCCUGUACUUGGUGUUACUGCGAAGGGGGGACGGAGAAGGCUAUGUUGGCCGGGCGACGGUUGUCCCGGUUUAAGCGUGUAGGCUGGUUUUCCAGGCAAAUCCGGAAAAUCAAGGCUGAGGCGUGAUGACGAGGCACUACGGUGCUGAAGCAACAAAUGCCCUGCUUCCAGGAAAAGCCUCUAAGCAUCAGGUAACAUCAAAUCGUACCCCAAACCGACACAGGUGGUCAGGUAGAGAAUACCAAGGCGCUUGAGAGAACUCGGGUGAAGGAACUAGGCAAAAUGGUGCCGUAACUUCGGGAGAAGGCACGCUGAUAUGUAGGUGAAGUCCCUCGCGGAUGGAGCUGAAAUCAGUCGAAGAUACCAGCUGGCUGCAACUGUUUAUUAAAAACACAGCACUGUGCAAACACGAAAGUGGACGUAUACGGUGUGACGCCUGCCCGGUGCCGGAAGGUUAAUUGAUGGGGUCAGCGCAAGCGAAGCUCUUGAUCGAAGCCCCGGUAAACGGCGGCCGUAACUAUAACGGUCCUAAGGUAGCGAAAUUCCUUGUCGGGUAAGUUCCGACCUGCACGAAUGGCGUAAUGAUGGCCAGGCUGUCUCCACCCGAGACUCAGUGAAAUUGAACUCGCUGUGAAGAUGCAGUGUACCCGCGGCAAGACGGAAAGACCCCGUGAACCUUUACUAUAGCUUGACACUGAACAUUGAGCCUUGAUGUGUAGGAUAGGUGGGAGGCUUUGAAGUGUGGACGCCAGUCUGCAUGGAGCCGACCUUGAAAUACCACCCUUUAAUGUUUGAUGUUCUAACGUUGACCCGUAAUCCGGGUUGCGGACAGUGUCUGGUGGGUAGUUUGACUGGGGCGGUCUCCUCCUAAAGAGUAACGGAGGAGCACGAAGGUUGGCUAAUCCUGGUCGGACAUCAGGAGGUUAGUGCAAUGGCAUAAGCCAGCUUGACUGCGAGCGUGACGGCGCGAGCAGGUGCGAAAGCAGGUCAUAGUGAUCCGGUGGUUCUGAAUGGAAGGGCCAUCGCUCAACGGAUAAAAGGUACUCCGGGGAUAACAGGCUGAUACCGCCCAAGAGUUCAUAUCGACGGCGGUGUUUGGCACCUCGAUGUCGGCUCAUCACAUCCUGGGGCUGAAGUAGGUCCCAAGGGUAUGGCUGUUCGCCAUUUAAAGUGGUACGCGAGCUGGGUUUAGAACGUCGUGAGACAGUUCGGUCCCUAUCUGCCGUGGGCGCUGGAGAACUGAGGGGGGCUGCUCCUAGUACGAGAGGACCGGAGUGGACGCAUCACUGGUGUUCGGGUUGUCAUGCCAAUGGCACUGCCCGGUAGCUAAAUGCGGAAGAGAUAAGUGCUGAAAGCAUCUAAGCACGAAACUUGCCCCGAGAUGAGUUCUCCCUGACUCCUUGAGAGUCCUGAAGGAACGUUGAAGACGACGACGUUGAUAGGCCGGGUGUGUAAGCGCAGCGAUGCGUUGAGCUAACCGGUACUAAUGAACCGUGAGGCUUAACCUU